UCUCCAAGUCUCCCUUCCUUCGAAAUCUAGCACAGGUAGAAUCAUUGCACCCGAGUGGUGCGACCGAGCAAGAUGAUAUUGAAAAUGCAAAACUUAUGUACAAAGAGAUGGAGAAGGCGAACUUCACAAUGGAGCACUGUUGGUGUCUUUCGAGAAACCAAUCGAAAUGACAGCAACACAUGAUGACACUGAAUACAAGGAGAAGGUCACACAAUAAACGUCCAACCAAUGAGUAGUCAAGUGAGGUUGCCGAAGAUGCUAGGGAGGAGAACGUGGAGGUUCUUGCUGAGAGACCUCAAGGGAAAAAAAGCUGAGAAAGAAAGCAUGAGGAAGCGGAAAGCCCGGGAAUCAUGUGAUGAUGAGAUCAACAUGGCGUGAGGUCAAAUGACCAAGGAUAGACGGUUGUGCAUGGUAGAGAGGAUAACAUACAUGAUGAAAGGCAGAUCGCGAUAGAGAAGCACAACUGGAACUUGAUACAAAAAAGUGGUAGGCGAAGAUGAUGAGCAAGGAUCUUGUUGGCAUGAAUGUCAUGCGGCAAGCCUACUUCCUUACUAUUCAGAAGAAAAUUUAUAAGGCAUCUCUGAAUAAUUUCGAAGGUACAUCCGAGAAAUCUCCAUCCACACCUCACGGAGGUGUGUAACUAUUGGGUAAAUUUUCAGUUAAUUUGAUUUUAGUGGCUACCCAGCCACAUGUGAAGGAAGAAAUAUGUGGCUGUGCAUCAACUAUGAGAUCUCAUUUUGUUUUUUGAAUGGAUGAUAUUCUUUGGAAAUUGUGAUACGAUGAAAACAAUAGCAAGGGAGGUUUUGGGUUGUUGAGGGGUUGCUGCUUUGUCCUGGAACAAUGAGCAAGUUUCAAUUUUGUAAUUUUUGUGUUCGGUUUUGUUGCUGUUGAUGGGUUGCUGUAAUUGCUAUUGAUGUUGAUGUAAGAAAUAUUAUUGUAAUUGUUUUGUCCUGG